rnacentral:rRNA from 1 species
GACGAACGCUGGCGGCGUGCUUAACACAUGCAAGUCGAACGGUGAAGCCCUUCGGGGUGGAUCAGUGGCGAACGGGUGAGUAACACGUGAGCAACCUGCCCCUGGCUCUGGGACAACCACUGGAAACGGUGGCUAAUACCGGAUACGACCCGCUCAGGCAUCUGAUGUGGGUGGAAAGUUUUUCGGCUGGGGAUGGGCUCGCGGCCUAUCAGCUUGUUGGCGGGGUGAUGGCCUACCAAGGCGACGACGGGUAGCCGGCCUGCGAGGGCGACCGGCCACACUGGGACUGAGACACGGCCCAGACUCCUACGGGAGGCAGCAGUGGGGAAUAUUGCACAAUGGGCGAAAGCCUGAUGCAGCGACGCCGCGUGAGGGAUGACGGCCUUCGGGUUGUAAACCUCUUUCAGCUCCGAAGAAGCGCAAGUGACGGUAGGAGCAGAAGAAGCACCGGCUAACUACGUGCCAGCAGCCGCGGUAAAAC